rnacentral:ncRNA from 1 species
CUAGUUGUGAGACUAGGACUGAAGGAAGCAGGACUACAAAACUCGGUACUGACGAACAGAAACCGUAUAUGAGGCAUAAUUAUCUGUGUAAGCAACCACAUCAUUGUAACGCCCUAAAGAGUACAAAAAUGGUAGUUAUGUAGAUACGGCGGUGAUCGAGAGAAAGAAGAUGUU